UUUUGUUAGUGUUUUGUUUGUUUUUAGUCAUUAAAAAAAUAAAAGAAAAUGCAUCUUCUUGAAAGUUUUAGGCUAUAGAUUACUUUGAGUCGAGUUUGCGGAGACUUGAGAAAAAUUCACAAGAUCGGUAUUGUUUUAACACCGUAAGUCUCCUGCAUAUGGAAAUUGAGUUGAAUUUUUAUUAUGUUUUAGCCGUACAUUCGCAUCCUCUGACAGCUCUUGAGUAGUUUAUUUCAGCAGUCGGCACCAUCUCACACACACUCUACGCAGGGAAGCCGAUGA
rnacentral:lncRNA from 1 species